rnacentral:misc_RNA from 1 species
GGACGUUAACCGUCAAACAAAGAGGAAGAGUUGCGUGUAUCUGUCUGUCCAUGUGUGCACGAAGAGUAAAAAAAAGAACGUGAUUGAGAGUGAAUUGAGAGUUAAAUUGUGUAUAAAAUGUAACAAACUGUCGUUUUAUCUAAUAUAGUUAUCUAGUUUUAUGGAUUAGGUUAAGCUAGCCCUAUUUAAAAAUAGUUCGUGAUAAUAGUCAGUGAAGGGAUAGUGGAAUACUAUUGCAUCAUGGCGCGAUUACGUGUUACUACCAGGAGGAUUUUUUGCUGUAUCCGCACUCUAUUCCAGUGACUACUCAAGCUGUGAUAAUUGUCUUCAAGAAAAUACGCUUGAAACUAAUAGCGUGAUUAUCCUGCCAUC